AACGAACGCUGGCGGCAUGCCUAACACAUGCAAGUCGAACGGGAUCCUAGCUUGCUAGGUGAGAGUGGCGGACGGGUGAGUAACACGUGGGAAUCUGCCUUUUGGUUCGGGAUAACCGCGGGAAACUGCGGCUAAUACCGAAUGCCCUCGAGAGAGGAAAGAUUUAUCGCCAGAAGAGGAGCCCGCGUCCGAUUAGGUAGUUGGUGGGGUAAAGGCCUACCAAGCCGACGAUCGGUAGCUGGUCUGAGAGGAUGAUCAGCCACACUGGGACUGAGAUACGGCCCAGACUCCUACGGGAGGCAGCAGUGGGAAUAUUGGACAAUGGGGGCAACCCUGAUCCAGCAAUGCCGCGUGAGUGAUGAAGGCCUUAGGGUUGUAAAGCUCUUUUGCCAGGGAAGAUGAUGACUGUACCUGGAGAAUAAGCCCCGGCUAACUUCGUGCCAGCAGCCGCGGU
rnacentral:rRNA from 1 species